rnacentral:rRNA from 1 species
UAUGAAUGGCAUCACGAGGGCUUAACUGUCUCCCCUCCCCAGUCAAUGAAAUUGAUCUCCCCGUGCAGAAGCGGGGAUAAUACCAUAAGACGAGAAGACCCUAUGGAGCUUUAGACGUCAGAGCAGCCCAUGUAAAGCACCCCUUAACAAAGGAAAAAACCAAAUGAAGCCUGCCCUAAUGUCUUUGGUUGGGGCGACCGCGGGGAAAUACAAAACCCCCAUGUGGAGUAGGAAUACACAUUCCUAAACCCAAGAGCUCCCGCUCUAAUGAACAGAAAUUCUGACCAAUAAGAUCCGGCACACGCCGAUCAACGGACCGAGUUACCCUAGGGAUAACAGCGCAAUCCCCUUAAAGAGCCCUUAUCGACAAGGGGGUUUACGACCUCGAUGUUGGAUCAGGACAUCCUAAUGGUGCAGCCGCUAUUAAGGGUUCGUUUGUUCAACGAUUAAAGUCCGAC